CUUGGUCAUUUAGAGGAAGUAAAAGUCGUAACAAGGUUUCCGUAGGUGAACCUGCGGAAGGAUCACUAUCGAUUUUUAAAGAUGUGCUGGCACUCCUUCACCGGUUUGCAUGUGCACUCUGCAAAAUCUCCUUCUCUUACCCCACUGUGCACACCCAAGUAGACAAACAGAGUUACAGAGCAAUCUGUGUAAUUCCUGAUUUGCCUAUGUUUUUAUCAAACACCAAUAACAAUCUCAGAAUGAUCUAUAUAGUAAGCUUUUAACAAGCUGAAAUUUAAUACAACUUUCAACAAUGGAUCUCUUGGUUCUCGCAUCGAUGAAGAACGCAGCGAAUUGCGAUAUGUAAUGUGAAUUGCAGAAUUCAGUGAAUCAUCGAAUCUUUGAACGCACCUUGCACCCUCUGGCAUUCCGGAGGGUAUGCCUGUUUGAGUGUCUUGAAACCUCACACUCUAGAGUUUUCUCUAGAGACGUGGAUUUGGGUGUUGCAAUUUGCUCACCUUGAAUGACUUAGUGGUUCCUACCGUAGCCUGAUGUAAUAAGUUUCAUCUGGUCAAGGGAAGACUGCUUCUAAUCGCCUUACGGCACUAUUUAAGACUAGACCUCAAAUCAGGUAGGACUACCCGCUGAACUUAAGCAUAUCAAUAAGCGGAGGA
rnacentral:rRNA from 1 species